GGUCCACACCUGCAGAGACCAGGAACAUGUCAGACUGAGACCAGAUUCAGAUCCUGGAUCUUUUCAGCUGUAAUUGACUUCUUUUCCCAGGAAGUUAUGUCAUUGGAAGAAACAGAGACACAGAUGGUUUUCAAACCACUUUGACUUCAGGAGAGACUCCAUCUUCUCAUUCGUCUUCUUACAGACCCUCACCGCACAGCUUGUCCUGGAACUGCAACCCAAACUGAUGGAUCAGGUCAAAGGAUUCCACCAGAAAGACAUGGUCCUCAAACGGUGGCGACGCCAUGGCCCUCAGUGAAGCCAUGUCGGCCCUGGCCACGCC